UGGGGGAUAUUGCACAAUGGGGGGAAACCCUGAUGCAGCGACGCCGCGUGAGGGAAGACGGUCCUCUGGAUUGUAAACCUCUGUCUUCGGGGACGAAAGAAGACGGUACCCGAGGAGGAAGCCACGGCUAACUACGUGCCAGCAGCCGCGGUAAUACGGAGGAUGCGAGCGUUAUCCGGAUUUAUGGGUUUAAAGGGUGCGCAGGCGGCGCGAAAAGUCAGCGGUCAAAGUUCCGGGCUCAACCCGGUGACGCCGUUGAAACUUUCGGGCUGGAGUUCGUGCGAGGGAGGCGGAAUGCGUUGUGUAGCGUGAAAUGCAUAGAUAUG
rnacentral:rRNA from 1 species